rnacentral:rRNA from 1 species
AUACAGAAAUGCCGCGUGUGUGAAGAAGNNNCGGGUUGUAAAGCACUUUCAGCGAGGAAGAACGCCUAGUGGUUAAUACCCAUUAGGAAAGACAUCACUMGCAGAAGAAGMACCGGCUAWCUCCGUGCCAGCAGCCGCGGUAAUACGGAGGGUGMAAGCGUUAAUCGGWAUUACUGGGCGUAAAGCGCGMGUAGGUGGCUUGAUAAKCCGGUUGUGAAAGCCCCGGGCUCAACCUGGGAACGGCAUCCGGAACUGUCAAGCUAGAGUGCAGGAGAGGAAGGUAGAAUUCCCGGUGUAGCGGUGAAAUGCGUAGAGAUCGGGAGGAAUACCAGUGGCGAAGGCGGCCUUCUGGMCUGACACUGACACUGAGGUGCGAAAGCGUGGGUAGCAAACAGGAUUAGAUACCCUGGUAGUCCACGCCGUAAACGAUGUCGACCAGCCGUUGGGUGCCUAGCGCACUUUGUGGCGAAGUUAACGCGAUAAGUCGACCG